AGCUCCAAUAGCGUAUAUUAAAGUUGCUGCAGUUAAAAAGCUCGUAGUUGCAUUUCCGAGGCAAGGGAUUAGUCCGACCUUUGGUGGGUAUUUAAUCCUCUUGCCUCGUCCUUGAGUGGUGCUUCUUGGUAUUAAGUUAUCGAGGAGAUAGCCGCUCAUCGUUUACUGUGAGAAAAUUAGAGUGUUCAAAGCAGGCUUAUGCCGUUGAAUAUAUUAGCAUGGAAUAAUAAGAUAGGACCUCGGUACUAUUUUGUUGGUUUGAGAACCAAGGUAAUGAUUAAUAGGGACAGUUGGGGGUAUUCGUAUUCAGUUGUCAGAGGGGAAAUUCUUAGAUUUACGGAAGACGAACUACUGCGAAAGCAUUUACCAAGGAUGUUUUCA
rnacentral:rRNA from 1 species